UACGAAGGGGGCUAGCGUUGCUCGGAAUCACUGGGCGUAAAGCGCACGUAGGCGGAUUUUUAAGUCAGGGGUGAAAUCCUGGAGCUCAACUCCAGAACUGCCUUUGAUACUGGGAAUCUCGAGUCCGGGAGAGGUGAGUGGAACUCCGAGUGUAGAGGUGAAAUUCGUAGAUAUUCGGAAGAACACCAGUGGCGAAGGCGGCUCACUGGCCCGGUACUGACGCUCAUGUGCGAAAGCGUGGGGAGCAAACAGG
rnacentral:rRNA from 1 species